rnacentral:tRNA from 1 species
UGCAUCGGCCGGGAAUCGAACCCGCGUGGCAGGCGAGCAUUUUACCACUUAACCACCGAUGC